rnacentral:rRNA from 1 species
AAAAAAGGUAAGCUACUAAGAGCGAAUGGUGGAUGCCUUGACUGGUAAAGGCGAUGAAGGACGUACUAGACUGCGAUAAGCUACGGGGAGCUGUCAAGAAGCUUUGAUCCGUAGAUUUCCGAAUGGGGCAACCCAAUGUAUAGAGAUAUACAUUACCUAUAUAGGAGCGAACGAGGGGAAUUGAAACAUCUUAGUACCCUCAGGAAAAGAAAUCAAUAGAGAUUGCGUCAGUAGCGGCGAGCGAAAGCGCAAGAGGGCAAACCCAGUGCUUGCACUGGGGGUUGUAGGACUGCAAUGUGCAAGAGGUAAGUUUAGCAGAACAUUCUGGAAAGUAUAACCAUAGAGGGUGAUAGUCCCGUAUGCGAAAAACAAACCUUAGCUAGCAGUAUCCUGAGUAGGGCGGGACACGAGGAAUCCUGUCUGAAUCCGGGUCGACCACGAUCCAACCCUAAAUACUAAUACCAGAUCGAUAGUGCACAAGUACCGUGAGGGAAAGGUGAAAAGAACUGAGGUGAUCAGAGUGAAAUAGAACCUGAAACCAUUUGCUUACAAUCAUUCAGAGCACUAUGUAGCAAUACAGUGUGAUGGACUGCCUUUUGCAUAAUGAGCCUGCGAGUUGUGGUGUCUGGCAAGGUUAAGCAAACGCGAAGCCGUAGCGAAAGCGAGUCUGAAUAGGGCGCUUAGUCAGAUGCUGCAGACCCGAAACGAAGUGAUCUAUCCAUGAGCAAGUUGAAGCUAGUGUAAGAACUAGUGGAGGACUGAACCCAUAGGCGUUGAAAAGCCCCGGGAUGACUUGUGGAUAGGGGUGAAAGGCCAAUCAAACUUCGUGAUAGCUGGUUCUCUCCGAAAUAUAUUUAGGUAUAGCGUUGUGUCGUAAUAUAAGGGGGUAGAGCACUGAAUGGGCUAGGGCAUACACCAAUGUACCAAACCCUAUCAAACUCCGAAUACCUUAUAUGUAAUCACAGCAGUCAGGCGGCGAGUGAUAAAAUCCGUCGUCAAGAGGGAAACAACCCAGACUACCAGCUAAGGUCCCUAAAUCUUACUUAAGUGGAAAACGAUGUGAAGUUACUUAAACAACCAGGAGGUUGGCUUAGAAGCAGCCAUCCUUUAAAGAAAGCGUAAUAGCUCACUGGUCUAGUGAUUUUGCGCGGAAAAUAUAACGGGGCUAAAGUAAGUACCGAAGCUGUAGACUUGCACACAACUUAGAUUAUUUAAGUUUAGAAUAUGAGAAACUAAGUUAUAUGUUUAGUUAUAUUUUUACUGAUUUUUAUAGAGUAAAGAUAGAAAUAAAACUUAGUAAAAUCAGUAAAAAUAUUCUUAGACUAAAGUUAAGUAGUUUAAGUUGUGUGCAAGUGGUAGGAGAGCGUUCUAUUUGCGUCGAAGGUAUACCGGUAAGGAGUGCUGGAGCGAAUAGAAGUGAGCAUGCAGGCAUGAGUAGCGAUAAUUAAUGUGAGAAUCAUUAACGCCGUAAACCCAAGGUUUCCUACGCGAUGCUCGUCAUCGUAGGGUUAGUCGGGUCCUAAGUCGAGUCCGAAAGGGGUAGACGAUGGCAAAUUGGUUAAUAUUCCAAUACCAACAUUAGUGUGCGAUGGAAGGACGCUUAGGGCUAAGGGGGCUAGCGGAUGGAAGUGCUAGUCUAAGGUCGUAGGAGGUUGUACAGGCAAAUCCGUAUAACAAUACUCCGAGAACUGAAAGGCUUUUUGAAGUCUUCGGAUGGAUAGAAGAACCCCUGAUGCCGUCGAGCCAAGAAAAGUUUCUAAGUUUAGCUAAUGUUGCCCGUACCGUAAACCGACACAGGUGGGUGGGAUGAGUAUUCUAAGGCGCGUGGAAGAACUCUCUUUAAGGAACUCUGCAAAAUAGCACCGUAUCUUCGGUAUAAGGUGUGGUUAGCUUCGUACUAGGAUUUACUCCGAAAGCGAAGAAACUUACAACAAAGAGUCCCUCCCGACUGUUUACCAAAAACACAGCACUCUGCUAACUCGUAAGAGGAUGUAUAGGGUGUGACGCCUGCCCGGUGCUCGAAGGUUAAUUGAUGGGGUUAGCAUUAGCGAAGCUCUUGAUCGAAGCCCGAGUAAACGGCGGCCGUAACUAUAACGGUCCUAAGGUAGCGAAAUUCCUUGUCGGUUAAAUACCGACCUGCAUGAAUGGCGUAACGAGAUGGGAGCUGUCUCAAAGAGGGAUCCAGUGAAAUUGUAGUGGAGGUGAAAAUUCCUCCUACCCGCGGCAAGACGGAAAGACCCCGUGGACCUUUACUACAGCUUGACACUGCUACUUGGAUAAGAAUGUGCAGGAUAGGUGGGAGGCUUUGAGUAUAUGACGCCAGUUGUAUAUGAGCCAUUGUUGAGAUACCACUCUUUCUUAUUUGGGUAGCUAACCAGCUUGAGUUAUCCUCAAGUGGGACAAUGUCUGGUGGGUAGUUUGACUGGGGCGGUCGCCUCCCAAAUAAUAACGGAGGCUUACAAAGGUUGGCUCAGAACGGUUGGAAAUCGUUCGUAGAGUAUAAAGGUAUAAGCCAGCUUAACUGCAAGACAUACAAGUCAAGCAGAGACGAAAGUCGGUCUUAGUGAUCCGGUGGUUCUGUGUGGAAGGGCCAUCGCUCAAAGGAUAAAAGGUACCCCGGGGAUAACAGGCUGAUCUCCCCCAAGAGCUCACAUCGACGGGGAGGUUUGGCACCUCGAUGUCGGCUCAUCGCAUCCUGGGGCUGGAGCAGGUCCCAAGGGUAUGGCUGUUCGCCAUUUAAAGCGGUACGCGAGCUGGGUUCAGAACGUCGUGAGACAGUUCGGUCCCUAUCUGCCGUGGGCGUAAGAAGAUUGAAGAGAUUUGACCCUAGUACGAGAGGACCGGGUUGAACAAACCACUGGUGUAGCUGUUGUUCUGCCAAGAGCAUCGCAGCGUAGCUAAGUUUGGAAAGGAUAAACGCUGAAAGCAUCUAAGCGUGAAGCCAACUCUAAGAUGAAUCUUCUCUAAGCUCUCUAGAAGACUACUAGUUUGAUAGGCUGGGUGUGUAAUGGAUGAAAGUCCUUUAGCUGACCAGUACUAAUAGAGCGUUUGGCUUAUCUUUAAUAAAGCAU